CCGCGGUAAUACGGAGGAUCCGAGCGUUAUCCGGAUUUAUUGGGUUUAAAGGGAGCGUAGGCGGAUGCUUAAGUCAGUUGUGAAAGUUUGCGGCUCAACCGUAAAAUUGCAGUUGAUACUGGGUGUCUUGAGUACAGUAGAGGCAGGCGGAAUUCGUGGUGUAGCGGUGAAAUGCUUAGAUAUCACGAAGAACUCCGAUUGCGAAGGCAGCUUGCUGGACUGUAACUGACGCUGAUGCUCGAAAGUGUGGGUAUCAAACAGGAUUAGAUACCCUGGUAGUCCACACAGUAAACGAUGAAUACUCGCUGUUUGCGAUAUACAGUAAGCGGCCAAGCGAAAGCGUUAAGUAUUCCACCUGGGGAGUACGCCGGCAACGGUGAAACUCAAAGGAAUUGACGGGGGCCCGCACAAGCGGAGGAACAUGUGGUUUAAUUCGAUGAUACGCGAGGAACCUUACCCGGGCUUAAAUUGCAAAUGAAUGUUCUGGAAACAGAUCAGCCGCAAGGCAUUUGUGAAGGUGCUGCAUGGUUGUCGUCAGCUCGUGCCGUGAGGUGUCGGCUUAAGUGCCAUAACGAGCGCAACCCUUAUCUUCAGUUACUAACAGGUCAUGCUGAGGACUCUGGAGAGACUGCCGUCGUAAGAUGUGAGGAAGGUGGGGAUGACGUCAAAUCAGCACGGCCCUUACGUCCGGGGCUACACACGUGUUACAAUGGGGGGUACAGAAGGCCGCUACACGGCGACGUGAUGCUAAUCCCUAAAACCUCUCUCAGUUCGGAUUGGAGUCUGCAACCCGACUCCAUGAAGCUGGAUUCGCUAGUAAUCGCGCAUCAGCCACGGCGCGGUGAAUACGUUCCCGGGCCUUGUACACACCGCCCGUCAAGCCAUGAAAGCCGGGGGUACCUGAAGUGCGUAACCGCGAGGAGCGCCCUAGGGUAAAACUGGUGACUGGGGCUAAGUCGUAACAAGGUAGCCGUACCGGAAGGUGCGGCUG
rnacentral:rRNA from 1 species